rnacentral:lncRNA from 1 species
GCCAGUCAGGGAGGCAUAGUGAGAGCUUAUCUCAAAAGCAAAACAGCAGUCUUACUAUGUAGCCCUGGAUGACCUACAACUCCCUAGGUAGUAGACCAGGUUGGCCUCAACCUCAGAGAUCUGCCUGUCUUUUCCUCCUGCAUGAUCCUACAUGCCCACCCUAGAAGACUCUUGGUAACUCAGACCCUAGUCAUGGCCCUUCCACCUGGUCUAUCUUUGGGGGCACUUUUUAAGACACUGAGUUCACCAAGCACCUUCAAGAGCCUGGACACACUGCUUGUCCCCAUUCCCAUUCACAGACAGGAAUUAACCUUCCUUCUCCUUGGCACAUGCAGGCUACCUGACUGCUAUGGUGGCCUUUCAGAUAGAGACUGCAGGUGCCAGUGCCAGCCUUGAGCUGACUGAUGGCCACUCUCCUUAAGCUGGCAGAUGGCUUAGUGGCUAAGGGUGCUUGUGGAGCCUGAUGACCCAGGGCAGAGCAGGAACUGGUUCCCACAGGUUCCCUCCUCACCUCCAUUUGCUGUGGUACAUGCACAUUCACAGAAAUGCAAAUAAAAAGAUUUUUUAACCCUUA